UACGUAGGAUCCGAGCGUUGUCCGGAAUUAUUGGGCGUAAAGAGCUCGUAGGCGGUUUUGUCGCGUCUGCUGUGAAAACUGGAGGCUCAACCUCCAGCCUGCAGUGGGUACGGGCAGACUAGAGUGCGGUAGGGGAGAUUGGAAUUCCUGGUGUAGCGGUGGAAUGCGCAGAUAUCAGGAGGAACACCGAUGGCGAAGGCAGAUCUCUGGGCCGUAACUGACGCUGAGGAGCGGAAAGCGUGGGGGAGCGAACAGG
rnacentral:rRNA from 1 species